GGGAAUGGUGUGGGCUUUCGAAACCUCAAAGCCUGCCCCAGUAACACACCUCCUCCAAGGCCACACCUCCUAAUCCUUCGCAAACAGUUCCACCAACUCAAGACCAAGUAUUCAAACGUAUGAGCCUCUGGGGGCCAGUAUCACUCAAACCACACUACCCAAUGACUUACAUUCUCCAAAUGGCCCCCCCAAAACUUUUCGUCACCUCCCGUCUUGGUUUUCUUGGCCAAUUGGUACAACAAAAUGCUCCAUUUUUGUGAGAAAUUGUUUCCUCUGACUCCCAGUUCAAGGUCUAGACCUCCAUGUCAGGGAAGUCAAGUCUGCCGGAGUUCGAAGCAGCUGGAUCUGUUCCAUCCCCAACCGGGAACAAAUAGCAAUGGACACAUGAUGUUGCUCGGUUCACUUCUUCACGUACACAGAGUAGGACCCUAGCCAAAGAAUGGUGCCACCCAUAGUGGAUGUCUACCUGCCCUGAUUGAUACGACCAAGAUAUGGACAGCUACGCACAAAUACCUCCCCCCUCCCGAGUGAUUCUAGAUUCUGUCAACUUGACAAUUAACACUCAUCACCACACCUCCCAAAUACACCACCAGUUAAUGACCCCACCAGUAGAUGAACCCACUGGUUAGCUAAGAGCCCUCUUGGUCUAACCACCUCUCCGUAAUGAAUCCAUAAGCUGGGGCCAAGCCUUCAACACAUGUGCCUUUAGGAGGCUGGAGACAAUUCCUAUCUGAACAAGUACACACUCAAGGAGUAGAAGAAGAAAGCGACACACUGAAGGAAGUGUCACUUCUUUAAACGGGUCCCUUUAGCUGGACGAUCGAGGCAUCUGCUAACAUGCUAUGCAGGAGCCAGGGUCACCCAGCAGAAUGCAGGAUUCCCUAUGGAAGUGCAAGGUGGAGACUGGGGGACACCAGUUUUGUGGCUUAAAUGUGAAAUGUCUCCCGGUGCGUUGACCACUUGGUCCCAGGUGGGGGAGUUUAGAAAUUUUAGAAGGCGGGUCCUAACUGGGAAGUAGAUCACUUGGUAUAUAUGUUUUUAUGAUGGUGGUACCUCGUCCCUGGCUUUUCUCUCUCCUCCUUCCCUGCCUCUCUUCCUCCUCCUCCUCUUCCUUCUCCUCCUCCUCUUCCUCAUCCUCCUUCUCUUCCUCAUCCUCUCCUCCUCCUCCCUUUCCCCAUCCUGUUCCAACUCCUGCUCUUCCUCCUCCUUCAUACCCUCCCCCCAUGAGAUAAAGAGUCAGUGCCACUGCAUUCUAAAGCCACCAUGACAUUCUGCUAAAACAACCGGACUGAAUCCUGUGAAAUGGUGGGCUAAAUCUAAUCUUUUGUCACUUAGGUGGUUCCCUCCGUGGCUUUGGACACAGCUACGGAAAGUUAACUCACACAACUAGUUACCUGAACCACAACUAGUUCAAAGAAUAAUGUGGAACCCAGCCUCCAGGCACAACUUGUUGGCGGCCAGCUUGAACUCCCAGCUACUUGUAUCUGUAAGUUGCCUGCAAUCUUGUAGGCAACACCAGUUAAAUUCACUGGUACACCAAGGUAUACUUGGGUAUUGUUUCUUUGGUCUUUCCCUGGUUGCCUAUGUGGGUAAGUAGAUGUUUGUUCAUCUCCCCAGGAAAAGUUAACAAUGGUUGACCCAGAAAAAAAAAAUCAAGUUUAAGUAAAGCACUGAUGUCAGCAGCCACAGACACCCAAUAUCUGUGCUGACGACACUAACACUAGCUGCCCAAACCACAGAACACAAGCGUGUGUGCUGGGUGGAGGACUGGUAAUCCAGAGCUGUGUUGCUUGUUCACUGACUGUUGAAGCCUCUAUCUUUGAUGGACAGGUGAGCUUUCCUCCACAGUACAAUGCAGAGAGAAAAGUUAUUCCAUUUGCUCCAGCUGCAGCCAGCAGAGGCGAGGACAGCAUGGGACAGCGCAAACACAUCAGAAUGUUUUGGUCCAAAAGGACACAUCCACUCACAGCCCAGCAUCUGGGAUGCAGCCGGCUUCCACAACAGGAAAUGUGUCUGGGAAGGAGAGGAAGCUGACUGUUCUGAGUGGAUUUUUGUCUGUCAAGCCUCCAAGUGUCCUGAAGCAUCGGUGACAUCUCUCUGGGGUCUUUCAGGAGACUUCUCACUAAGAAGUGGCCUGGAAGGCAGGGAGGAGCAGAGAUAGACUCGCACCUGCGCACCUGCGUUGCCAAGCAACUAUUGCUGCGCCUGGACCUCUGGGUUUAUGGACACUGUGCUCCCCCUCCUGGCAGCGCUGGGCCGUCACUGAAAUUCUGCGUUGGGGCUGUACCAUUUUGUCAGAGAAACGACCUAAAUAGAACCUCCUGUCCCCAUGUCGAUGGAGGUAAUUUUAAAAAGUUAAGAAGUUGAUCAAUAGAUUAAAAAAAAAUAAACUGUUUCCUACAGUCUAGCAAUGCAGGAAUAAUUAGAAUUCAAAAAUAAAAUACUAUCUCCGAUAGCGUGCCCUCAAAUGGAAAUCCUUAAAUAAAAGUCCUACAAAAUAUAUACAGGUACAUUUUCACAAAACCUUGAAAUGAAGUGUAAAUAAGCCAGGAGUUUAUAGAUCAAUGUGAAGAAAUUCUUUGGUCAUUAGCAGAGAGGUUGGAUCACAAUAUCCAUUCUUUCUGUCUAUACAAUCAGAAGACUAAAUCCUCGGAGAAAAUAGCAACAGUUUCUAACCCUGCAACAGAUAUGUAAAACUGGAGAGAAAUGUCAGACAGGCACAGAGGCCCAGAUCCACCAUCGAAGGCUUCCAUAACGAAGUGUGUUUGCCGUUGAUAAGGGAAUGAAUAAAUGGAAGAAGAGAAGAGACAGAGCCUAAAAUAGACCAGUGUAACUACUGACAAUUGGUUUAGCCAAGGGGACAAUGGUAACUCAAUAAAAAAUAACAGAAAUGUCUGCUCCGCAAACAGGAGUAAUGAAUGAAAUUGGAGAGUGUAAAGGAAUAAACAUGGGCAGGAGCUUGGUAGCUUUUCUAAAGCUUUACUUAAAAUGACCAGCAGAUGGGCUGGGGAUUUAGCUCAGUGGUAGAGCGCUUGCCUAGGAAGCACAAGGCCCUGGGUUCGGUCCCCAGCUCCGAAAAAAAAGAACCAAAAAUAAUAAUAAUAAUAAUAAUAAUAACCAGCAGACGUGCAAACAUUAGAAAUAAAAUACAAAACAAAAA